rnacentral:rRNA from 1 species
GGUUAAGCGACUAAGCGUACACGGUGGAUGCCCUGGCAGUCAGAGGCGAUGAAGGACGUGCUAAUCUGCGAAAAGCGUCGGUAAGGUGAUAUGAACCGUUAUAACCGGCGAUGUCCGAAUGGGGAAACCCAGUGUGAUUCGUCACACUAUCGUUAACUGAAUACAUAGGUUAACGAGGCGAACCGGGGGAACUGAAACAUCUAAGUACCCCGAGGAAAAGAAAUCAACCGAGAUUCCCCCAGUAGCGGCGAGCGAACGGGGAGCAGCCCAGAGUCUGAAUCAGCUUGUGUGUUAGUGGAACGGUCUGGAAAGUCCGACGGUACAGGGUGAUAGUCCCGUACACCAAAAUGCACAGGUUGUGAACUCGAAGAGUAGGGCGGGACACGUGGUAUCCUGUCUGAAUAUGGGGGGACCAUCCUCCAAGGCUAAAUACUCCUGACUGACCGAUAGUGAACCAGUACCGUGAGGGAAAGGCGAAAAGAACCCCGGCGAGGGGAGUGAAAAAGAACCUGAAACCGUGUACGUACAAGCAGUGGGAGCACCUUCGGGUGUGACUGCGUACCUUUUGUAUAAUGGGUCAGCGACUUAUAUUCUGUAGCAAGGUUAACCGUAUAGGGGAGCCGCAGGGAAACCGAGUCUUAACUGGGCGUUAAGUUGCAGGGUAUAGACCCGAAACCCGGUGAUCUAGCCAUGGGCAGGUUGAAGGUUGGGUAACACUAACUGGAGGACCGAACCGACUAAUGUUGAAAAAUUAGCGGAUGACUUGUGGCUGGGGGUGAAAGGCCAAUCAAACCGGGAGAUAGCUGGUUCUCCCCGAAAGCUAUUUAGGUAGCGCCUCGUGAAUUCAUCUUCGGGGGUAGAGCACUGUUUCGGCUAGGGGGUCAUCCCGACUUACCAACCCGAUGCAAACUACGAAUACCGAAGAAUGUUAUCACGGGAGACACACGGCGGGUGCUAACGUCCGUCGUGAAGAGGGAAACAACCCAGACCGCCAGCUAAGGUCCCAAAGUCACAGUUAAGUGGGAAACGAUGUGGGAAGGCACAGACAGCCAGGAUGUUGGCUUAGAAGCAGCCAUCAUUUAAAGAAAGCGUAAUAGCUCACUGGUCGAGUCGGCCUGCGCGGAAGAUGUAACGGGGCUAAACUGUGCACCGAAGCUGCGGCAGCGACACUAUGUGUUGUUGGGUAGGGGAGCGUUCUGUAAGCCUGCGAAGGUGGCCUGUGAGGGUUGCUGGAGGUAUCAGAAGUGCGAAUGCUGACAUAAGUAACGAUAAUGCGGGUGAAAAGCCCGCACGCCGGAAGACCAAGGGUUCCUGUCCAACGUUAAUCGGGGCAGGGUGAGUCGACCCCUAAGGCGAGGCCGAAAGGCGUAGUCGAUGGGAAACAGGUUAAUAUUCCUGUACUUGGUGUUACUGCGAAGGGGGGACGGAGAAGGCUAUGUUAGCCGGGCGACGGUUGUCCCGGUUUAAGCAUGUAGGCGGAGGUUCCAGGUAAAUCCGGUACCUUUUAACGCUGAGGUGUGAUGACGAGGCACUACGGUGCUGAAGUAACAAAUGCCCUGCUUCCAGGAAAAGCCUCUAAGCAUCAGGUAACAUUGAAUCGUACCCCAAACCGACACAGGUGGUCAGGUAGAGAAUACCAAGGCGCUUGAGAGAACUCGGGUGAAGGAACUAGGCAAAAUGGUGCCGUAACUUCGGGAGAAGGCACGCUGAUAUGUAGGUGAAGCCCCUGCGGGUGGAGCUGAAAUCAGUCGAAGAUACCAGCUGGCUGCAACUGUUUAUUAAAAACACAGCACUGUGCAAACACGAAAGUGGACGUAUACGGUGUGACGCCUGCCCGGUGCCGGAAGGUUAAUUGAUGGGGUUAUCCGUAAGGAGAAGCUCUUGAUCGAAGCCCCGGUAAACGGCGGCCGUAACUAUAACGGUCCUAAGGUAGCGAAAUUCCUUGUCGGGUAAGUUCCGACCUGCACGAAUGGCGUAAUGAUGGCCAGGCUGUCUCCACCCGAGACUCAGUGAAAUUGAACUCGCUGUGAAGAUGCAGUGUACCCGCGGCAAGACGGAAAGACCCCGUGAACCUUUACUAUAGCUUGACACUGAACAUUGAGCCUUGAUGUGUAGGAUAGGUGGGAGGCUUUGAAGCGUGGACGCCAGUCUGCGUGGAGCCAACCUUGAAAUACCACCCUUUAAUGUUUGAUGUUCUAACGUUGGCCCCUUAUCGGGGUUGCGGACAGUGUCUGGUGGGUAGUUUGACUGGGGCGGUCUCCUCCCAAAGAGUAACGGAGGAGCACGAAGGUUAGCUAAUCCUGGUCGGACAUCAGGAGGUUAGUGCAAUGGCAUAAGCUAGCUUGACUGCGAGCGUGACGGCGCGAGCAGGUGCGAAAGCAGGUCAUAGUGAUCCGGUGGUUCUGAAUGGAAGGGCCAUCGCUCAACGGAUAAAAGGUACUCCGGGGAUAACAGGCUGAUACCGCCCAAGAGUUCAUAUCGACGGCGGUGUUUGGCACCUCGAUGUCGGCUCAUCACAUCCUGGGGCUGAAGUAGGUCCCAAGGGUAUGGCUGUUCGCCAUUUAAAGUGGUACGCGAGCUGGGUUUAGAACGUCGUGAGACAGUUCGGUCCCUAUUCUGCCGUGGGCGCUGGAGAAUUGAGGGGGCUGCUCCUAGUACGAGAGGACCGGAGUGGACGCAUCACUGGUGUUCGGGUUGUCAUGCCAAUGGCAUUGCCCGGUAGCUAAAUGCGGAAGAGAUAAGUGCUGAAAGCAUCUAAGCACGAAACUUGCCCCGAGAUGAGUUCUCCCUGAGACUUUAAGUCUCCUGAAGGAACGUUAAAGACGAUGACGUUGAUAGGUCGGGUGUGUAAGCGUAGCGAUACGUUGAGCUAACCGAUACUAAUGAACCGUGAGGCUUAACCUU